UAACAGUCGAUAAAACACGAAGCGAUCAGUAUAGACAAAAUCAGUGUAAAUCUAUUCUGAGGACUGAGCUAUAUUUGAGGUAAUAGACACCUUAAGAUUGACGUUUACGGCAAACGUCAAACCGCUAACAAAAUUUUUGAUUUUACAACUCUAUUAUAACAGCUUUUAAACCAGUUUUGAAAUAUAUCAAACAAUUAUUAAACUUGUGGUAUUUAGCAAUGAUUUAAGAAAGCAAAUUAACCACUAGUCACGAAUUGACCAAAGCAGUAAAUUAAGAUUUGGCGUUUGAAGUUUACGUUUGGCGUAUAAAUUUCAUGCUUGAACUGCUACGAGGGCUUGUAGUCGUUAAAGCAUGAAAUUUAUACGCCAAACGUAAACUUCAAACGCCAAAUCUUAAUUUACUGC
rnacentral:lncRNA from 1 species